rnacentral:rRNA from 1 species
GUGUCAGCAGCCGCGGUAAUACAGAGGAGCCAAGCGUUGUCCGGAUUGACUGGGCGUAAAGCGCACGCAGGUGGUCGUGCAAGUGUCGUGUGAAAGCAGCUCGCUCAACGAGCUGAGGCAUGGCAGACUGUACAACUCGAGCCCGUGAGAGGUCGGUGGAAUUGCCGGUGUAGUGGUGAAAUGCGUAGAGAUCGGCAGGAACACCCAGGGGGAAGCCAGCCGACUGGCACGGUGCUGACACUGAGGUGCGAGAGCGUGGGGAGCGAACCGGAUUAGAUACCCUCGUAGUCC